GGGUUGUGAGGUUAAGCGACUAAGCGUACACGGUGGAUGCCCUGGCAGUCAGAGGCGAUGAAGGACGUGCUAAUCUGCGAUAAGCGUCGGUAAGGUGAUAUGAACCGUUAUAACCGGCGAUUUCCGAAUGGGGAAACCCAGUGUGAUUCGUCACACUAUCAUUAACUGAAUCCAUAGGUUAAUGAGGCGAACCGGGGGAACUGAAACAUCUAAGUACCCCGAGGAAAAGAAAUCAACCGAGAUUCCCCCAGUAGCGGCGAGCGAACGGGGAGGAGCCCAGAGCCUGAAUCAGUGUGUGUGUUAGUGGAAGCGUCUGGAAAGGCGCGCGAUACAGGGUGACAGCCCCGUACACAAAAAUACACAUAUUGUGAGCUCGAUGAGUAGGGCGGGACACGUGGUAUCCUGUCUGAAUAUGGGGGGACCAUCCUCCAAGGCUAAAUACUCCUGACUGACCGAUAGUGAACCAGUACCGUGAGGGAAAGGCGAAAAGAACCCCGGCGAGGGGAGUGAAAAAGAACCUGAAACCGUGUACGUACAAGCAGUGGGAGCACGCUUAGGCGUGUGACUGCGUACCUUUUGUAUAAUGGGUCAGCGACUUAUAUUCUGUAGCAAGGUUAACCGAAUAGGGGAGCCGAAGGGAAACCGAGUCUUAACUGGGCGUUAAGUUGCAGGGUAUAGACCCGAAACCCGGUGAUCUAGCCAUGGGCAGGUUGAAGGUUGGGUAACACUAACUGGAGGACCGAACCGACUAAUGUUGAAAAAUUAGCGGAUGACUUGUGGCUGGGGGUGAAAGGCCAAUCAAACCGGGAGAUAGCUGGUUCUCCCCGAAAGCUAUUUAGGUAGCGCCUCGUGAAUUCAUCUCCGGGGGUAGAGCACUGUUUCGGCAAGGGGGUCAUCCCGACUUACCAACCCGAUGCAAACUG
rnacentral:rRNA from 1 species